rnacentral:rRNA from 1 species
ACGAACGCUGGCGGCGUGCUUAACACAUGCAAGUCGAACGGAAAGGCCCUGCUUGCAGGGUACUCGAGUGGCGAACGGGUGAGUAACACGUGGGUGAUCUGCCCUGCACUUCGGGAUAAGCCUGGGAAACUGGGUCUAAUACCGGAUAGGAGCCAUUUUUAGUGUGAUGGUUGGAAAGUUUUUUCGGUGUAGGAUGAGCUCGCGGCCUAUCAGCUUGUUGGUGGGGUAAUGGCCUACCAAGGCGGCGACGGGUAGCCGGCCUGAGAGGGUGGACGGCCACAAUGGGGACGAGGUAAGGCCCAGAAUCCUAAGGGAGGGAAGAGGGGGGAAUAUUGCACAAUGGGGGCAAGCCUGGUGCAGCGACGCCGGGGGGGGGAUGACGGCCUUCGGGUUGUAAACUCCUUUCGCUAGGGACGAAGCUUUUUGUGACGGUACCUAGAUAAGAAGCACCGGCUAACUACGUG